UACGUAGGGGCCUAGCGUUGUCCGGAAUUAUUGGGCGUAAAGGGCUCGUAGGCGGUCUGUUGCGUCGGGAGUGAAAACUUACAGCUUAACUGUGAGCGUGCUUCCGAUACGGGCAGACUUGAGGUAUUCAGGGGAGAACGGAAUUCCUGGUGUAGCGGUGAAAUGCGCAGAUAUCAGGAGGAACACCGGUGGCGAAGGCGGUUCUCUGGGAAUAUCCUGACGCUGAGGAGCGAAAGUGUGGGGAGCGAACAGG
rnacentral:rRNA from 1 species